rnacentral:lncRNA from 12 species
AUGAAGAAGCUGCGCGUGUUGUUGCUGUGCGCCGUUUUAGCUCUCCUGUGCUGGCACUCUUGUCAUCAUGUUUAUUGUUCAGAAGAGAUCUCCUCUGGCCCAGGACUCCCUGCACAGGAUGACAGCCGUUACGCAACGCAGGACCCAGGGGCCGAUGAAAAGGUUGAAGAGGAAAGGGCAACACACACUCAGUCAUCGUAUGACGUGGGCCUGGAAACAGAAAGAGCUGCGCUAAAGGAAACAUCAUUGAACUCACAAGACGCCCCGCUCGAAGAGAAACACAAACAGACUGUGAAUUUGGAAGAAGUGUUGGAGGAGCCGCAGAUUCAGCUUCAGUCUGCUCUCCCUGUACAAGAACAACAAAAACAGCAGCAGGAGCAGGAGCAGCAACCAGAACCGCAGAGCACCCAACAAUCAGACCAACAACAAUCAGCCCAACCACCAACAGCUACGCAGCCCCAAACAGCACCGCCACUCUCCCAGCCCCAGCCAGACCCUGAAACUCCACAGCCCACUGCCACAGAGGACCAGGCUGCCCACACCUCCACUGCUUUAACCCCUCCACAGACUGACCUGCACAGAGAAGACCCCUCUGCACCUCCUGCUGAACUCCAGAAGAGCCCAGAGUCAGCCUCACCUACCUCAGUCACCUCCUCCGAGAGCUCCUCCAGUGUUGUGGAGGAAAAUGCGGAGAAGCAAGCAGAGAACCAGUCUGCCACAUUGGAAGUACAGAGUACAGAGACCAGCGUUGACCCGACUGCCACUCUGCUGCCCAGUGAGCUGGACCUCACAGAGCUGGGGCAGACAGCCAGUAUCCCUCCACCUUCCAAAGGCCAGCAGGUACACUCACACUAUUUAUCAGACUAA